rnacentral:rRNA from 1 species
UACGAAGGGGGCUAGCGUUGCUCGGAAUGACUGGGCGUAAAGCGCACGUAGGCGGACCGCUAAGUCGGAUGUGAAAGCCCUCGGCUUAACCGAGGAAGUGCAUUCGAAACUGACAGGCUUGAGUAUGGAAGAGGGUCGCGGAAUUCCCGGUGUAGAGGUGAAAUUCGUAGAUAUCGGGAGGAACACCAGUGGCGAAGGCGGCGACCUGGGCCAAUACUGACGCUGAGGCGCGAAAGCCAGGGGAGCAAACGGG